rnacentral:lncRNA from 1 species
CUCUGCAGCUGCUGGCUCAGGGUGGAGACCAGGGUCACAGGGAGGGUCACACAUCUUGGAAAAAACUCCAAGGUUUUUCAUCAUCGCAGAAUCCCUUACACUGAAAUUUAAUGACCAAGCAAAAUGGCAGUUUAUUUCUAAUCAGUAAAACUUCCAUUAGACAACAUUCCUGCAGGAAGGGUAGAAGGCAACUCAUUAUGAAAUCCAGAAGCAAGAUUUUCUCUGAUUUCUGCAAGAGGGAUCAAGGCAACAAUGUACAGAGAGCUUCCAAGGUUUUUCCUGUCCAUUUAUUCAACAAAUAGUUUUGAGUUUCUACAAUAUUCCAGGCCUGGUGUUCUAGCGAACAAUGCAUCCUCUCACGAGACUGAAAAGUAGGGGAGAGGUAGUAACCAAACAGUCAUAUAAGUAGGUUAAAAUUAGAACUAUGAUAAAUUCUGUGAAAAAGAGAUGUACAGUGUUAUGGGAACCUGUAAGAAUGGGAUUAGACCCAAUUCUUGGGUUGGAGAAGGUUUUCCUGAGAAAGUGAGGUAGAGUUGAGAUCUUAAUGAUAGUCAGGAUUCAAAGAUAGCCUUCUUGUUCCCGUUGUUGUGUCUUUAUAAACUCUUCCCUUUCAGUGUGGGCAGAACCUGUGAUUCACUCAUAACCAAUAGAUUGCGGCAAAGGUGAUGGGAAAGCAGUCCUAUGAUUAAGUUGUAACACAUAUUAGAGCAGUGAAAAUAAAGAAAACCAGAUGAGUUUGAGAAAAUUCCGAAGGUAAAACGUAUGGGACUCUGUGAUGGUUUAGAGACAAGGGUAUGAAUGUGGGAAGUACCAAAAACAGCACUUUGGUUUCUGUCUUGGUCAUUCUUGGGCAUGAGUAACAUUGAAAGACAGAUCUGAGAUAUGGGAUCAAAGAUCAUGACUUUUGUUUGAACACAGCUUUCUCAGGUGGCUCAUUUGUAAGGAAUCUGCCUGCCAAUGUAGGAGACACAGGAGAUGCAGGUUCAAUUCCCGGGUCGA